GUGGGGAAUAUUGGGCAAUGGGCGAAAGCCUGACCCAGCAACGCCGCGUGAAGGAAGAAGGUCUUCGGAUCGUAAACUUCUAUCCUUGGUGAAGAUAAUGACGGUAGCCGAGAAGGAAGCCCCGGCUAACUACGUGCCAGCAGCCGCGGUAAUACGUAGGGGGCAAGCGUUGUCCGGAAUGAUUGGGCGUAAAGGGCGCGUAGGCGGCCUGGUAAGUCUGGAGUGAAAGUCCUGCUUUUAAGGUGGGAAUUGCUUUGGAUACUGUCGGGCUUGAGUGCAGGAGAGGUAAGUGGAAUUCCCGGUGUAGCGGUGAAAUGCGUAGAGAUCGGGAGGAACACCAGUGGCGAAGGCGACUUACUGGACUGUAACUGACGCUGAGGCGCGAAAGUGUGGGGAGCAAACAGGAUUAGAUACCCUUGUAGUCC
rnacentral:rRNA from 1 species